AACGCCGCGUGAGUGAUGAAGGUUUUCGGAUCGUAAAGCUCUGUUGUUAGGGAAGAACAAGUACCGUUCGAAUAGGGCGGUACCUUGACGGUACCUAACCAGAAAGCCACGGCUAACUACGUGCCAGCAGCCGCGGUAAUACGUAGGUGGCAAGCGUUGUCCGGAAUUAUUGGGCGUAAAGGGCUCGCAGGCGGUUUCUUAAGUCUGAUGUGAAAGCCCCCGGCUCAACCGGGGAGGGUCAUUGGAAACUGGGGAACUUGAGUGCAGAAGAGGAGAGUGGAAUUCCACGUGUAGCGGUGAAAUGCGUAGAGAUGUGGAGGAACACCAGUGGCGAAGGCGACUCUCUGGUCUGUAACUGACGCUGAGGAGCGAAAGCGUGGGGAGCGAACAGGAUUAGAUACCCUGGUAGUCCACGCCGUAAACGAUGAGUGCUAAGUGUUAGGGGGUUUCCGCCCCUUAGUGCUGCAGCUAACGCAUUAAGCACUCCGCCCUGGGGAGA
rnacentral:rRNA from 1 species